ensembl:miRNA
GUGGUACUUGAGGAGAGGUUUUCUAGGUCUCUGUUUCUUUCAUGAGGAUGAAACACACCUGGUUAACCUUUUUUCCAGUAUCA